rnacentral:rRNA from 1 species
GGGUUGUGAGGUUAAGCGACUAAGCGUACACGGUGGAUGCCCUGGCAGUCAGAGGCGAUGAAGGACGUGCUAAUCUGCGAAAAGCGUCGGUAAGGUGAUAUGAACCGUUACAGCCGGCGAUGUCCGAAUGGGGAAACCCAGUGCAAUUCGUUGCACUAUCGUUAACUGAAUACAUAGGUUAACGAGGCGAACCGGGGAACUGAAACAUCUAAGUACCCCGAGGAAAAGAAAUCAACCGAGAUUCCCCCAGUAGCGGCGAGCGAACGGGGAGCAGCCCAGAGUCUGAAUCAGCUUGUGUGUUAGUGGAACGGUCUGGAAAGUCCGACGGUACAGGGUGAUAGUCCCGUACACCAAAAUGCACAGGUUGUGAACUCGAAGAGUAGGGCGGGACACGUGGUAUCCUGUCUGAAUAUGGGGGGACCAUCCUCCAAGGCUAAAUACUCCUGACUGACCGAUAGUGAACCAGUACCGUGAGGGAAAGGCGAAAAGAACCCCGGCGAGGGGAGUGAAAAAGAACCUGAAACCGUGUACGUACAAGCAGUGGGAGCACCUUCGGGUGUGACUGCGUACCUUUUGUAUAAUGGGUCAGCGACUUAUAUUCUGUAGCAAGGUUAACCGUAUAGGGGAGCCGCAGGGAAACCGAGUCUUAACUGGGCGUUAAGUUGCAGGGUAUAGACCCGAAACCCGGUGAUCUAGCCAUGGGCAGGUUGAAGGUUGGGUAACACUAACUGGAGGACCGAACCGACUAAUGUUGAAAAAUUAGCGGAUGACUUGUGGCUGGGGGUGAAAGGCCAAUCAAACCGGGAGAUAGCUGGUUCUCCCCGAAAGCUAUUUAGGUAGCGCCUCGUGAAUUCAUCUUCGGGGGUAGAGCACUGUUUCGGCUAGGGGGUCAUCCCGACUUACCAACCCGAUGCAAACUACGAAUACCGAAGAAUGUUAUCACGGGAGACACACGGCGGGUGCUAACGUCCGUCGUGAAGAGGGAAACAACCCAGACCGCCAGCUAAGGUCCCAAAGUCACAGUUAAGUGGGAAACGAUGUGGGAAGGCACAGACAGCCAGGAUGUUGGCUUAGAAGCAGCCAUCAUUUAAAGAAAGCGUAAUAGCUCACUGGUCGAGUCGGCCUGCGCGGAAGAUGUAACGGGGCUAAACUGUGCACCGAAGCUGCGGCAGCGACACUUAGGUGUUGUUGGGUAGGGGAGCGUUCUGUAAGCCUGCGAAGGUGGCCUGUGAGGGUUGCUGGAGGUAUCAGAAGUGCGAAUGCUGACAUAAGUAACGAUAAUGCGGGUGAAAAGCCCGCACGCCGGAAGACCAAGGGUUCCUGUCCAACGUUAAUCGGGGCAGGGUGAGUCGACCCCUAAGGCGAGGCCGAAAGGCGUAGUCGAUGGGAAACAGGUUAAUAUUCCUGUACUUGGUGUUACUGCGAAGGGGGGACGGAGAAGGCUAUGUUAGCCGGGCGACGGUUGUCCCGGUUUAAGCAUGUAGGCGGAGGUUCCAGGUAAAUCCGGUACCUUUUAACGCUGAGGUGUGAUGACGAGGCACUACGGUGCUGAAGUAACAAAUGCCCUGCUUCCAGGAAAAGCCUCUAAGCAUCAGGUAACAUUGAAUCGUACCCCAAACCGACACAGGUGGUCAGGUAGAGAAUACCAAGGCGCUUGAGAGAACUCGGGUGAAGGAACUAGGCAAAAUGGUGCCGUAACUUCGGGAGAAGGCACGCUGAUAUGUAGGUGAAGCCCCUGCGGGUGGAGCUGAAAUCAGUCGAAGAUACCAGCUGGCUGCAACUGUUUAUUAAAAACACAGCACUGUGCAAACACGAAAGUGGACGUAUACGGUGUGACGCCUGCCCGGUGCCGGAAGGUUAAUUGAUGGGGUUAUCCGUAAGGAGAAGCUCUUGAUCGAAGCCCCGGUAAACGGCGGCCGUAACUAUAACGGUCCUAAGGUAGCGAAAUUCCUUGUCGGGUAAGUUCCGACCUGCACGAAUGGCGUAAUGAUGGCCAGGCUGUCUCCACCCGAGACUCAGUGAAAUUGAACUCGCUGUGAAGAUGCAGUGUACCCGCGGCAAGACGGAAAGACCCCGUGAACCUUUACUAUAGCUUGACACUGAACAUUGAGCCUUGAUGUGUAGGAUAGGUGGGAGGCUUUGAAGCGUGGACGCCAGUCUGCGUGGAGCCAACCUUGAAAUACCACCCUUUAAUGUUUGAUGUUCUAACGUUGGCCCCUGACCGGGGUUGCGGACAGUGUCUGGUGGGUAGUUUGACUGGGGCGGUCUCCUCCCAAAGAGUAACGGAGGAGCACGAAGGUUAGCUAAUCCUGGUCGGACAUCAGGAGGUUAGUGCAAUGGCAUAAGCUAGCUUGACUGCGAGCGUGACGGCGCGAGCAGGUGCGAAAGCAGGUCAUAGUGAUCCGGUGGUUCUGAAUGGAAGGGCCAUCGCUCAACGGAUAAAAGGUACUCCGGGGAUAACAGGCUGAUACCGCCCAAGAGUUCAUAUCGACGGCGGUGUUUGGCACCUCGAUGUCGGCUCAUCACAUCCUGGGGCUGAAGUAGGUCCCAAGGGUAUGGCUGUUCGCCAUUUAAAGUGGUACGCGAGCUGGGUUUAGAACGUCGUGAGACAGUUCGGUCCCUAUCUGCCGUGGGCGCUGGAGAAUUGAGGGGGGCUGCUCCUAGUACGAGAGGACCGGAGUGGACGCAUCACUGGUGUUCGGGUUGUCAUGCCAAUGGCAUUGCCCGGUAGCUAAAUGCGGAAGAGAUAAGUGCUGAAAGCAUCUAAGCACGAAACUUGCCCCGAGAUGAGUUCUCCCUGAGACUUUAAGUCUCCUGAAGGAACGUUAAAGACGAUGACGUUGAUAGGUCGGGUGUGUAAGCGUAGCGAUACGUUGAGCUAACCGAUACUAAUGAACCGUGAGGCUUAACCUUACAACGCCGAAGCUGUU